rnacentral:lncRNA from 1 species
CUCAGGUGAUCCACCCACCUCGGCCUCCCAAAGUGCCGGGAUUAUAGGCGUGAGCCACCAUGCCUGGCCCCAAGAUGCCUUCUGUGAGCACCUCAACUGAAGUAUCAUGUCCAUCCUCUCUAUCCUGCUCCUCUUCACCUCCCCAUGAUCUGCCAUCAGAUGAUGUAUUUGUGUCUCCUUAUGACUAGAAGGGGGAAGAUGCAUGUGCUGGGUGAGGCUGCCUUCAGCAGAAUAAUGACCACCCCUCGUCCAAAUGAGAAGUGACAUUUCAAAGCAGCAGCUUGCAAAAAACCCUCAGCUGCUGAUCGCACACGUUCUUCCCUUAGAAAACACCCAUCCGGCUGGAGGAAGAAGACGCGGAGCAAAUAAAUUCAGAUGUUUUAUUCUGUAAAGCACAUAUGCACAUACUUCAAACACGGAAAAUUAAUCUGGAAGUGAAUGCCAUAACAGAUCAGCUACUGACCAUCAUGCAGCAAGAGGUGAAAUGGACCCACUGGCCCUCAGGACCCCACAGUGCCUGCAGGAAGGGUGAAAACCCAGGAAGCUGAAGCCCUACACGCUGCCGAGGAAAACGCAACAGACAUGGCAGGUGCCUCACGACAAGAAACACUUACAAA